rnacentral:misc_RNA from 1 species
CCUACAUUAGCAUUAGAUCAGAAAAUUUUGACAUAACAUCUAUACUUCCAUGCCCAUAACAAAAUAAUGCUCCCAAUUCGUCAAAUUUGAAUAGCGAAUAAAGAAAACCUAUACUUAAUUCAAAUAAUAUAUUAUCUUCAAAUACAGACUCUUUGAAAAUUGGAGUCGCAAAAAAUAUUGCUGCAAUGGCCAUAUGAACUACAUAAACUAACAGUACAUAUUUUCCUGCAAAACCCCCCAUGGGGGUUCAUUCUGGCCAACAAAAGCUUGAUAUCUUUAUUCUCAUCACAGAAAGAAAUGGGCUAAGUAAAAGAAAAAUAUUUGGUAGAAAAAUUGAUUAAUGAGAACCAAUCUAACGAUCGCUACUUAAAAAGGCUUUGACAAAAUUUAGGCUUCAUCUUCUCUUUGGCCACCGGGGGUUCCAGCAAGCCAACCCCACAUGCCACCAGAGGCCUGCCCAUGUUUUGCAUUUAAGGCGGCUUGUUCGGAAGCUGCCUUUUGCCGCUGAAGGAGUUCUAGUUCUUUUUGUAAUGUCUCCAUUGUUUGAAGCUUUUGUCUUUGUUCUGCCACAUCAACCUCUAAUUUGAAACAUCUAGACUGCUCAGCUGCAAGCUGACCACGCACAGAUUGGAGUUCCUUGUAAAGAUCAGUGUUACGAUUCUCAGCUUCAACUAAUUCUUGCUUUAAUUGGACAGUUUGCAAUUUCUCCUUGCUAAGAGAGGAUUCCAGUUCUUCUUUUUCUGCCUUUAAAGUUGCUAUAAGAUGUUCACUGGAUACUUCACCCUUAGAUUUCAUGGGCUCUGGAUCAACAUUAUCCAUAACAAUUUCUCUUAUUUUGCCUUCUUGGCCUGCUUCAAACUCCAAUUCCAAAUCUCUGGUAGCAUUUGUAACAUUAUGCACAGCAGAAACACUAUCAGGCACUGAAGUCUCCACAAUCUUUGAUUGCAAGGUAGACUUGUGGCUGGGUUUAAUAACAUUCACCUCAUUGCUGUAACGCCCAUUGUAUCCCCCAAAUGAUACAAGAAUAUCCUCACCAUUGUAGGAACUCACAGCCAAACUCAACCCCUCACUGGCAAUGGGAACGCGCCCUUUAACAGAAGUUACAACAGACCAAACAAGUGUUGACAUGUUGAGGACAACAGUUUCAGAGACCCCUGUAAAAUGUUAACCAAAAGAAAUGUAGAACACUUUAAUGAUAUUAUAUAGUUUUGAUCAUUGAAACACAAAAGUAUAAAACCAGGACCAAUACCCAUUUUAUUCUGCUACAUGUUUUCACCAAUAACUAUUAAAAUGCCCAGAAAUAUGAAGCUUCUUCUGAAAAAUCACUCAGAUAUCAUCCUUGGAGCCAUGGAACUGAAAAUAUUACUGUUGGACACAACCAGAACAUGUAAACUGACGUGCUGACACAAGGGCGAUAGGAAUAAAAUCAGUUUAGUUUUCAGUUAAGAAAUGGCCUUGCCCCUUUGCCAUAUAAAACCUUUUUUUUUUUUUUUUGAAACAGAAGCAAAUAUACCAUUCUUUCCCAAGCUGCUGACACUCUCCUUCUCCUCAAAUGACCCUUUGAGCUGCUGCUUUUAAUUUAUUUAACCCACUUUAAAAUGAUUCCAUAAAGAAUAUUGAUCAUGAUCCUCGUAGAUGUCCUUUUUGGUGGUCAUAAUGUUAGAGUUCUAUCCUCUACUCUAUUUCACGCUAGUUAGUUAAGUUAAUUGUCAACAAAUAAUAUAAAUCAUGGAUCAAGGUCUUUAUUAUAUGUAUUUAUGCUUAUUAGUUAGUUGGAUCUCUUAAUUUUAGUUGAUUCUAUUAAUAUCUAUCAGUUUUCUAACAAAUAGGCCAUUACCAUAACCAUUACAUUAUGGCUGCGAAAGCCCCAUUUCUGUUACACAAUCGUGACUGUUGUUGUGGCCAUGACCAAGAUUUAAAUCCAUGGUCUCAAAAGGUUUUGUAAACACAAGAUCCACAAAUUAGGCUAAUUUUGGAAAUACAUUCCAAGAAAUUGUGUUAAUUCAGUGAGCACCACUAGAUCAUUUAUAGAAAAAUUAGUUCAACAGUCAACACUGUGACCAACACAGGUUUGAGUUGGGUUAGGAUCAGCAUUUAGCAAUUCUCAAGAAGAUAUUCUUCAAGUGAAUUACUGUUUCUUUUCUAGUUUUUUGUUUUUCAUUUUUCUUUUACUUAGUAAACAUGCCAAGCAUUAAAAAAAUGCAGUUAAAUGCUUAAGAUAGAAUAUUCAUACCACUCUUGUUGUUGCCACCACCAACAAUAAACCAAUUCUCCCCAACUGUCACACCUGCAUGUCCAGCCCGUGGACUUGGUAUUUCCCCCUGUUGUGUUGGUCUUGUCCAUUCCAUAGCUUGUAAAUCCAGCACAUGCAGAUCACUGAAACAAGUAGCAUGUGAACCACCGCCAAAAAUAAGAAGGUAGCGCUCUGCAUGAACUGCGGCAGCAUGAUCAGACCUUGGAGAAGGAGGCACGCCACUACAAAAUAAUAGGAGGAAAAAUUAAUCUCUAAAGUGUUAUUCAACAACACCUAUUGAAAAUCACUAUCGUUCAACAUAAAUUCACAUGAUCUAUUUACAAUCAAAUCUUAAGAAUCAGGCUUGAAUUUGAAAUAUGAGAUAUGAUGCAGUACAACAAUGAAAUCAUAUUUGGUUGUGACUUCUGAGUUCAUUCAAAAUGAAUCCUACUUAUGUGGAGACAUGGAACUUGAAUCGACAUGGUACAAGAAAUUUACAGGACCACCACCCAGCAGAAGAAUCCAAACAUCUCCUAUUAUCAUAAAAAGGGUGAAACAGUGCACUGAGCAUCCCACACUUGUGGUCUCUAAUUCAUGACAUACUAGCUACCUGCCUAUCAAAAGACUCCAUAAAACCUUAAUCAUUCCUCAACCAUAAAAAACAAGAAGGUAUUAAACGGAAAAAACAGAGGCUAGCAUCCAAAAACGCCAGAAUCAUCUUACACAGCAUCAAUUUCAUCCCAAGUCAUAGUUUCUAGGUCAAGAAUAUGCAAAUCAUUCAACAGAGAUCUCUUUCCAUCUUGUCCGCCAAAAAUCACUAAGCUUGUCCCAACAAGUGUAACAGAUUGACCCCCCCGUGAGACCUGCAAUGCAAUAAAAGCAAUAAUUCCUAUAUUUUUUUCAUAAGCAAUCAAUAUCAUAAAGAAUCUUCCGGAGUCCAAGUAUUCCUGUGUCACUCAAAAUUAUGUUUUACAAUUCUAAUACAAAAUUUCAUUUCAAGUUUCACCAUUUCCAAAUGUUUGACCACCUUCAGCUCAAAAUCUUGCCACAAAAUCUACGAAGUUAGCAAAAUAAUAAUUAUAAAUUUGGUUUUUCAGUUUCUUUAGCGUCACAAAAACAUCAGAAAACCAGAAGCAGCCAUCUCAGAAUCAAAGGUUAAGAGCACAGGGUACACCAGUAUGGUAACUUAUUUCCUUCAUUCUGAUUUGUAGAAGAUGUUUUAGUUAAUAUAGUGAGAAGAAGAUAUAGCAGAGAAAGAAACAUGUUUCAGUUAAUUUCCUCCAUUUUGGCUUGUCAAAGGUGUUUAAGUGAUGUACCGGUGCUUUCCCAUACGUCUUCAAGGUCAACCAAAUACGUGUUUGUGGAUCAAAUGCCUUCACUUGAAUGCUUUCAGAAUGAUCUUUAGUAUGUCCAGCAAUUGAUAGAAGCUUAUUCUCCCAAGCUAUCAAGGAAUGACCAGCACAGGAAGUUACUGUAGCUAGAGAUUUUGAUUCAUCUGACUCAGCCCCAGCCUUAGCAUCAACCUUAGACCAAGUCCAGCUUCUCAAAUCCAGAACAUGAAGAUCAUUAAGAUAACGACCAUUGUGGUUUCCUCCAUAUAUAUACAUCUUAUCUUGAAUAACUGCUGCUCCAUGCUCAUAUCGGGCUUUUGGGCGUUGGCCAGAUAUUGGAGGGGCAAUCCAUUGAUCAUAAACAAUGACUGAACCAAAGCCUUCCGAGACAACAUCUUUAUCCUGAGGUUCUAUAACACUCCCAUUCUCACUGGAAAUAGUCUUUGUCUCUGGGGAAGAGUUUCCAUUCUCGACAACAUGCUCAACUUUUGGGUUAUGCUAUGGCAAGCAAAAUUUGAAAAUAUCUAUGAGCAUAAGGUCAUUGAAAUUCUCAACAUAUAUUCACAGAUAUAUAUUUCAAUACUCUUCACAUUCUAUCAAGUAGCACAAAUAUCAAUCAAGAAAAACAUUUGGAAGAAAAGAAUGAAGAUGGUAAAAAUUGUGCACCACCAAAAGAAAUGAAGAUAAACCACACUAAAUAAUUCCCACUGUACUCACAUUCGUUUGGAUGUCUAAAACAGGCUCAGAAACAAAGUUAGAUGCUCUAGAAUACCAACCUGGAUCUUCUUCCUCCAAUAUCUUCACAAAGAGACGCAUUGCUUCAGUGGGAGGCAUGUUGGCAAGCCCAUUCCAGCUCUUCCAUUUGCUUUGUUCUACAGCAUUCCAAGUGCUGGGUUUUGGUGUAUUACAAGGUCCCACAGUUGCCUGCUGGUACAAAGCAUAGAGGAGCAAGGCAGUGUCGUUUUGGAACUUAGAGGAGACGCUGUUGGCUGAGUUAGGGGAUCCGUCAAAUCCAGCGUAUGCGGCAGCUGCAUAGAAUCGGUCCGGGUACGCGAGGCCAGAGCUUGCCCUCGCCAUGGCCAUUUCCUCUUCCCUCCCUUUCUCUCUAUAUGCUUUCUUAAGAUUUGAUUUGUAAGUUUUUUAGUGCGGUUUAUGCGUUCGUUCGAAACGCAAUGAGUUGUAAAAACUAAUGGCACGUCCGAAACG